AGCUCCAAUAACGUAUAUUAAAGUUGUUGCGGUUAAAAAGCUCGUAGUUGGAUUUCUGUUGGACAAGAACGGUCCCCACUCUGUGGGCGUAUCUGUCUCGUGUCUGGCAUCCUCGUAUGGCACGUUUCUGCCCUUCACUGGGUGGAGCGGGACGUACGACUUUUACUUUGAGGAAAUUCGAGUGUUUACGGCAGGCAAUCGCCCUGAAGCUAUUAGCAUGGAAUAAUAAUAUAGGACCUUGGUUCUAUUUUGUUGGUUUCUAGAGCUGAGGUAAUGAUUAAUAGGGAUAUUUGGGGGCAUUUGUAUUAACUGGUCAGAGGUGGAAUUCUUGGAUUCAGUUACGACAAACGACUGCGAAAGCAUUUGUCAAGAAUGUUUUCA
rnacentral:rRNA from 1 species